rnacentral:misc_RNA from 1 species
GAAAUGCGAUACGUAAUGUGAAUUGCAGAAUUCGUGAAUCAUCGAAACUUUGAACGCAAAUUGCGCUCUCGAUUCACGUCGGGAGCAUGCCUGCUUGAGUGUCAGUAACCUCACCUCACACGCCACGCGCGUGUGGACGAUGGACGCCUUACUCUGGGGCUGCGUGCCCUCGUCGUCCGAAGGAUAGCUCUCUCGCGGCACCGCGCAUCCACACAAACACACACGCACACGCACACGCACACGCGCGCACGCAAGUGCCCGUAUGUAUGUCUGUGAGUGUGUGUGUGUGCGUGUGGUGCAGGCGCGUCGUCCACGUUCGUGUAAUGUACGUCAUCAGACGUUUUCCUCACGAGCGCGGUCGCGCACAUGCCGAGGUCGCCGCAUCGAUGAAGAAC